rnacentral:rRNA from 1 species
ACAUCCAGAGAACUUAGCAGAGAUGCUUUGGUGCCUUCGGGAACUCUGAGACAGGUGCUGCAUGGCUGUCGUCAGCUCGUGUUGUGAAAUGUUGGGUUAAGUCCCGCAACGAGCGCAACCCUUAUCCUUUGUUGCCAGCGGUUCGGCCGGGAACUCAAAGGAGACUGCCGGUGAUAAACCGGAGGAAGGUGGGGAUGACGUCAAGUCAUCAUGGCCCUUACGGCCAGGGCUACACACGUGCUACAAUGGCGCAUACAAAGAGAAGCGACCUCGCGAGAGCAAGCGGACCUCAUAAAGUGCGUCGUAGUCCGGAUUGGAGUCUGCAACUCGACUCCAUGAAGUCGGAAUCGCUAGUAAUCGUAGAUCAGAAUGCUACGGUGAAUACGUUCCCGGGCCUUGUACACACCGCCCGUCGCACCAUGGGAGUGGGUUGCAAAAGAAGUAGGUAGCUUAACCUUCGGGAGGGCGCUUACCACUUUGUGAUUCAUGACUGGGGUGAAGUCGUAACAAGGUAGGCGUAGCGAG